AUUGAACGCUGGCGGUAGGCCUAACACAUGCAAGUCGAACGGUAACAGGAAGAAGCUUGCUUCUUUGCUGACGAGUGGCGGACGGGUGAGUAAUGUCUGGGAAACUGCCUGAUGGAGGGGGAUAACUACUGGAAACGGUAGCUAAUACCGCAUAACGUCGCAAGACCAAAAAGGGGGACCUUCGGGCCUCUUGCCAUCGGAUGUGCCCAGAUGGGAUUAGCUAGUAGGUGGGGUAACGGCUCACCUAGGCGACGAUCCCUAGCUGGUCUGAGAGGAUGACCAGCCACACUGGAACUGAGACACGGUCCAGACUCCUACGGGAGGCAGCAGUGGGGAAUAUUGCACAAUGGGCGCAAGCCUGAUGCAGCCAUGCCGCGUGUAUGAAGAAGGCCUUCGGGUUGUAAAGUACUUUCAGCGGGGAGGAGGGGAGUAAAGUUAAUACCUUUGCUCAUUGACGUUACCCGCAGAAGAAGCACCGACUAACUCCGUG
rnacentral:rRNA from 1 species